GGGGAAUAUUGGGCAAUGGACGCAAGUCUGACCCAGCAACGCCGCGUGAAGGAAGAAGGCUUUCGGGUUGUAAACUUCUUUUAAGGGGGAAGAGUAUAAGACGGUACCCCUUGAAUCAGCCACGGCUAACUACGUGCCAGCAUCCGCGGUAAUACGGAGGAUGCGAGCGUUAUCCGGAUUUAUUGGGUUUAAAGGGUGCGCAGGCGGGCUUUUAAGUCAGCGGUGAAAUCUGGACGCUUAACGUCCAAACUGCCGUUGAAACUGGGAGUCUUGAGUAUGGAUGAAGUAGGCGGAAUUCGUUGUGUAGCGGUGACAUGCAUAGAUAUAACGAGGAACUCCGAUUGCGUAGGCAGCUUACUAAGCCAUAACUGACGCUCAUGCACGAAAGCGUGGGGAUCAAACA
rnacentral:rRNA from 1 species